AACGAACGCUGGCGGCAUGCCUAACACAUGCAAGUCGAACGAGCCCUUCGGGUCUAGUGUCGUAUGGGUGCGUAACGCGUGGGAACCUGCCCUUAGGUUCGGAAUAACUCUCCGAAAGGGGUGCUAAUACCGGAUAAUGUCUUCGGCCCGAGGAUUUUUCGACUUUGGAGGUGCCCGCGUUGGAUUCGCUCGUUGGUAUGGUAAAAGACUAACACGGCGACAAUCAAUAACUGGGAUGAGAGGAAGAUCAGCCACACUGGGACUAAGACACGGCCCGGACUCCUACGGGAAGCAGGAGUGGGGAACAUUGGACAAUGGGGUAAAGCAUGAACCAGCAAUGCCGGGUGAGUGAUGAAGGCCUUAGGGUUGUAAAGCUCUUUUACCCGGGAUGAUAAUGACAGUACCGGGAGAAUAAGCUCCGGCUAACUACGUG
rnacentral:rRNA from 1 species